CUGGAGGUAUCAGAAGUGCGAAUGCUGACAUAAGUAACGAUAAAGCGGGUGAAAAGCCCGCUCGCCGGAAGACCAAGGGUUCCUGUCCAACGUUAAUCGGGGCAGGGUGAGUCGACCCCUAAGGCGAGGCCGAAAGGCGUAGUCGAUGGGAAACAGGUUAAUAUUCCUGUACUUGGUGUUACUGCGAAGGGGGGACGGAGAAGGCUAUGUUGGCCGGGCGACGGUUGUCCCGGUUUAAGCGUGUAGGCUGGUUUUCCAGGCAAAUCCGGAAAAUCAAGGCUGAGGCGUGAUGACGAGGCACUACGGUGCUGAAGCAACAAAUGCCCUGCUUCCAGGAAAAGCCUCUAAGCAUCAGGUAACAUCAAAUCGUACCCCAAACCGACACAGGUGGUCAGGUAGAGAAUACCAAGGCGCUUGAGAGAACUCGGGUGAAGGAACUAGGCAAAAUGGUGCCGUAACUUCGGGAGAAGGCACGCUGAUAUGUAGGUGAAGCGACUUGCUCGUGGAGCUGAAAUCAGUCGAAGAUACCAGCUGGCUGCAACUGUUUAUUAAAAACACAGCACUGUGCAAACACGAAAGUGGACGUAUACGGUGUGACGCCUGCCCGGUGCCGGAAGGUUAAUUGAUGGGGUCAGCGCAAGCGAAGCUCUUGAUCGAAGCCCCGGUAAACGGCGGCCGUAACUAUAACGGUCCUAAGGUAGCGAAAUUCCUUGUCGGGUAAGUUCCGACCUGCACGAAUGGCGUAAUGAUGGCCAGGCUGUCUCCACCCGAGACUCAGUGAAAUUGAACUCGCUGUGAAGAUGCAGUGUACCCGCGGCAAGACGGAAAGACCCCGUGAACCUUUACUAUAGCUUGACACUGAACAUUGAGCCUUGAUGUGUAGGAUAGGUGGGAGGCUUUGAAGUGUGGACGCCAGUCUGCAUGGAGCCGACCUUGAAAUACCACCCUUUAAUGUUUGAUGUUCUAACGUUGGCCCCUAAUCGGGGUUGCGGACAGUGUCUGGUGGGUAGUUUGACUGGGGCGGUCUCCUCCUAAAGAGUAACGGAGGAGCACGAAGGUUGGCUAAUCCUGGUCGGACAUCAGGAGGUUAGUGCAAUGGCAUAAGCCAGCUUGACUGCGAGCGUGACGGCGCGAGCAGGUGCGAAAGCAGGUCAUAGUGAUCCGGUGGUUCUGAAUGGAAGGGCCAUCGCUCAACGGAUAAAAGGUACUCCGGGGAUAACAGGCUGAUACCGCCCAAGAGUUCAUAUCGACGGCGGUGUUUGGCACCUCGAUGUCGGCUCAUCACAUCCUGGGGCUGAAGUAGGUCCCAAGGGUAUGGCUGUUCGCCAUUUAAAGUGGUACGCGAGCUGGGUUUAGAACGUCGUGAGACAGUUCGGUCCCUAUCUGCCGUGGGCGCUGGAGAACUGAGGGGGGCUGCUCCUAGUACGAGAGGACCGGAGUGGAC
rnacentral:rRNA from 1 species